rnacentral:tRNA from 1 species
UGCGUUGUGGCUCAGUGGCAGAGCACUUGCCUAGCACGUGUAAGGCACUGGGUUAGAUUCUCAGCCGCGCAU